GACGAACGCUGGCGGCGUGCUUAACACAUGCAAGUCGAACGGAAAGGCCCUUCGGGGUACUCGAGUGGCGAACGGGUGAGUAACACGUGGGUGAUCUGCCCUGCACUCUGGGAUAAGCCUGGGAAACUGGGUCUAAUACCGGAUAGGACCACACACUUCAUGGUGAGUGGUGCAAAGCUUUUGCGGUGUGGGAUGAGCCCGCGGCCUAUCAGCUUGUUGGUGGGGUAAUGGCCCACCAAGGCGACGACGGGUAGCCGGCCUGAGAGGGUGACCGGCCACACUGGGACUGAGAUACGGCCCAGACUCCUACGGGAGGCAGCAGUGGGGAAUAUUGCACAAUGGGCGCAAGCCUGAUGCAGCGACGCCGCGUGAGGGAUGACGGCCUUCGGGUUGUAAACCUCUUUCAGUAGGGACGAAGCGAAAGUGACGGUACCUACAGAAGAAGGACCGGCCAACUACGUGCCAGCAGCCGCGGUAAUACGUAGGGUCCGAGCGUUGUCCGGAAUUACUGGGCGUAAAGAGCUCGUAGGUGGUUUGUCGCGUUGUUCGUGAAAACUCACAGCUUAACUGUGGGCGUGCGGGCGAUACGGGCAGACUAGAGUACUGCAGGGGAGACUGGAAUUCCUGGUGUAGCGGUGGAAUGCGCAGAUAUCAGGAGGAACACCGGUGGCGAAGGCGGGUCUCUGGGCAGUAACUGACGCUGAGGAGCGAAAGCGUGGGUAGCGAACAGGAUUAGAUACCCUGGUAGUCCACGCCGUAAACGGUGGGUACUAGGUGUGGGUUUCCUUCCUUGGGAUCCGUGCCGUAGCUAACGCAUUAAGUACCCCGCCUGGGGAGUACGGUCGCAAGACUAAAACUCAAAGGAAUUGACGGGGGCCCGCACAAGCGGCGGAGCAUGUGGAUUAAUUCGAUGCAACGCGAAGAACCUUACCUGGGUUUGACAUGCACAGGACGUACCUAGAGAUAGGUAUUCCCUUGUGGCCUGUGUGCAGGUGGUGCAUGGCUGUCGUCAGCUCGUGUCGUGAGAUGUUGGGUUAAGUCCCGCAACGAGCGCAACCCUUGUCCUAUGUUGCCAGCGGGUAAUGCCGGGGACUCGUAGGAGACUGCCGGGGUCAACUCGGAGGAAGGUGGGGAUGACGUCAAGUCAUCAUGCCCCUUAUGUCCAGGGCUUCACACAUGCUACAAUGGCCAGUACAGAGGGCUGCGAAGCCGUAAGGUGGAGCGAAUCCCUUAAAGCUGGUCUCAGUUCGGAUUGGGGUCUGCAACUCGACCCCAUGAAGUCGGAGUCGCUAGUAAUCGCAGAUCAGCAACGCUGCGGUGAAUACGUUCCCGGGCCUUGUACACACCGCCCGUCACGUCAUGAAAGUCGGUAACACCCGAAGCCAGUGGCCUAACCUUUUGGAGGGAGCUGUCGAAGGUGGGAUCGGCGAUUGGGACGAAG
rnacentral:rRNA from 3 species